rnacentral:rRNA from 1 species
AUUGAACGCUGGCGGCAGGCCUAACACAUGCAAGUCGAACGGUAACAGGAAACAGCUUGCUGUUUCGCUGACGAGUGGCGGACGGGUGAGUAAUGUCUGGGAAACUGCCUGAUGGAGGGGGAUAACUACUGGAAACGGUAGCUAAUACCGCAUCACGUCGCAAGACCAAAGAGGGGGACCUUCGGGCCUCUUGCCAUCGGAUGUGCCCAGAUGGGAUUAGCUAGUAGGUGGGGUAACGGCUCACCUAGGCGACGAUCCCUAGCUGGUCUGAGAGGAUGACCAGCCACACUGGAACUGAGACACGGUCCAGACUCCUACGGGAGGCAGCAGUGGGGAAUACUGCACAAUGGGCGCAAGCCUGAUGCAGCCAUGCCGCGUGUAUGAAGAAGGCCUUCGGGUUGUAAAGUACUUUCAGCGGGGAGGAAGGGAGUAAAGUUAAUACCUUUGCUCAUUGACGUUACCCGCAGAAGAAGCACCGGCUAACUCCGUGCCAGCCGCCGCAGUAA